rnacentral:snoRNA from 1 species
AAGCCAUGGUGAGGACAAUCGCGUUCGUAGUCCUUGAAUCGUUCCCAUGCUUCGUGAAAUGAUUCAACAGGUCCUUGUUGGAACCUUGCAGCUUGUUUCUUAGAGAAU